rnacentral:tRNA from 1 species
GGUGGGGUGGCCGAGUGGUUGAAGGCACUGGUCUUGAAAACCAGCAGGCUGAAAGGCCUCGUGGGUUCAAAUCCCACCCCCACCG